UACGUAGGAGGCAAGCGUUGUCCGGAAUUACUGGGCGUAAAGCGCGUGUAGGUGGUGGGACAAGUCUGCUGUGAAAGCGCCUGGCUUAACCGGGCGAGGUCGGCGGAAACUGUCCGACUCGAGGACGGUAGAGGGGGGUGGAAUUCCCGGUGUAGUGGUGAAAUGCGUAGAGAUCGGGAGGAACACCUGUGGCGAAGGCGGCCCCCUGGGCCGGCCCUGACGCACUGAGACGCGAAGGCGUGGGGAGCGAACGGG
rnacentral:rRNA from 1 species